AAAGAGAACGAGAGUGGGCAUGGAUGAGUGUUCAAAAGUUGUUUUCCCACUUCCAAAAAGCAUCCUCACGAAACGAGCAGUCUAAGGGAAGGCAUCAUCAGCUUUAGGGCUUCAAGGCUGGCGUCGCACUCUUUAAACGAUGCAUGUUACUCGUCAGUGCUGAUUUGGACCUUCUUCCAAGUGGUCGAGUCGUCUCAGUCUUUGUUUUUUCCUAACAUCACGACAUAGGCUGAAGGAGCAUUCCCUCUGACAUUUCUCAUUUGGUAAUUACUUAUAAAUUAAUCGAGGAUUUUAUAUUUUGAAGGAGACCUGGAGUAAAAAUCAAAGAUGGAAAAAUCUCCAACUAAAUCUUCUGCCGUCAUCCGCUCAGAUGAAAAUGUAGACUCUUCAUCAUCUGCUGCUGACAUCGCUUCCAAGUCCAAAUUAUCUCCGUUGGCAGCUCCCUUUUUUCCGAGGGAGGUUCCGUCCGCAUCAACGCCAUUAGUGAAGCAGAAUGAAACAUGGCCCUCUCCUCCCUCGUCAAGUAUUGAAAACGACGCUGCUGAUCCUCCCCUUGCAUUGGAUCUUCUUCCUGGUGAACACAUUCAUCCUACACAACCAUUUCUGAACAUGUUGGGAUUUUGGACGCAGCCAGGACCACGCUUUCCGAGCUCUGCAAGACCACCCGGCCCACCAUAUUUUUUCCUGCCACCAGCACCACCACACCCUUCUUCGCAAGGCAACUUCCCCCACCUCACGCCCAGCACUACCAGAAAUGAGCCCAGCUCUCAGACUCCUUGGCUGCCUUAUCGCAAAGUGAAGACCUCCACGGGCAGAUAUUACUGUAUGAAGUAUUAAUUACGCGUACGCUAAAUUGUAUAGAUUUUGAAAUGAUAUCUUUGUCGGAUUUUGUCAUCUUUUUUAUUUUGAUGAAUUAUUAUUAUCUUUUAUGAGAAACCAUAUUCUAGUCUGAAUGAACUUUUAAAUUGUAAGUAAAUUUGGAACACAUUUGUUCUUAUCUCAACAUAGAUAAAGUUGGCUCAACCUUAAAUUAAAUUUAAAACUGUCAACUUUAUGAAACUGAAAAUAGUCAUGAAUGAUAAACCCGAAACAAUAAGUAAAUGAACUAUUAACUUGUAUCAAAUUAUGGUAA